rnacentral:rRNA from 1 species
GAACGCGAAGAACCUUACCAGGUCUUGACAUCCCUCUGACCGCUCUAGAGAUAGAGCUUUCCUUCGGGACAGAGGUGACAGGUGGUGCAUGGUUGUCGUCAGCUCGUGUCGUGAGACGUUGGGUUAAGUCCCGCAACGAGCGCAACCCCUAUUGUUAGUUGCCAUCAUUUAGUUGGGCACUCUAGCGAGACUGCCGGUAAUAAACCGGAGGAAGGUGGGGAUGACGUCAAAUCAUCAUGCCCCUUAUGACCUGGGCUACACACGUGCUACAAUGGCUGGUACAACGAGUCGCAAGCCGGUGACGGCAAGCUAAUCUCUUAAAGCCAGUCUCAGUUCGGAUUGUAGGCUGCAACUCGCCUACAUGAAGUCGGAAUCGCUAGUAAUCGCGGAUCAGCACGCCGCGGUGAAUACGUUCCCGGGUCUUGUACACACC